rnacentral:rRNA from 1 species
AGAGUUUGAUCCUGGCUCAGAACGAACGCUGGCGGCGCGUCUUAAGCAUGCAAGUCGAACGGCAAGAGAGGAGCUUGCUUCUCUCCUAGAGUGGCGGACUGGUGAGGAACACGUGGGUAAUCUACCCUUAAGAUGGGGAUAGCUGCUAGAAAUAGCAGGUAAUACCGAAUACACUCGGCAUAUCACAAGAGAUGUUGAGGAAAGGAAGCUACGGCUUCGCUUGAGGAUGAGCUUGCGUCCCAUUAGCUAGUUGGUGAGGUAAAGGCCCACCAAGGCGACGAUGGGUAUCCGGCCUGAGAGGGUGAACGGACACAUUGGGACUGAGAUACGGCCCAAACUCCUACGGGAGGCAGCAGCUAAGAAUCUUCCGCAAUGGACGAAAGUCUGACGGAGCGACGCCGUGUGAAUGAAGAAGGCCGAAAGGUUGUAAAAUUCUUUUGCAGAUGAAGAAUAAGAAGAAGAGGGAAUGCUUCUUUGAUGACGGUAGUCAUGCGAAUAAGCCCCGGCUAAUUACGUGCCAGCAGCCGCGGUAACACGUAAGGGGCGAGCGUUGUUCGGAAUUAUUGGGCGUAAAGGGUAUGUAGGCGGUUAGGUAAGCCUGGUGUGAAAUCUACGAGCUCAACUCGUAAACUGCAUUGGGUACUGCUUGACUUGAAUCACGGAGGGGAAACCGGAAUUCCAAGUGUAGGGGUGGAAUCUGUAGAUAUUUGGAAGAACACCGGUGGCGAAGGCGGGUUUCUGGCCGAUGAUUGACGCUGAUAUACGAAGGUGCGGGGAGCAAACAGGAUUAGAUACCCUGGUAGUCCGCACAGUAAACGAUGUACACUAGGUGUCGGGGCAAGAGCUUCGGUGCCGACGCAAACGCAUUAAGUGUACCGCCUGGGAAGUAUGCCCGCAAGGGUGAAACUCAAAGGAAUUGACGGGGGCCCGCACAAGCGGU